rnacentral:rRNA from 1 species
CAGUCGCCGCGGGAAUACGUAGGUGGCAAGCGUUGUCCGGAAUUAUUGGGCGUAAAGCGCGCGCAGGUGGUUUAAUAAGUCUGAUGUGAAAGCCCACGGCUCAACCGUGGAGGGUCAUUGGAAACUGUUAAACUUGAGUGCAGGAGAGAAAAGUGGAAUUCCUAGUGUAGCGGUGAAAUGCGUAGAGAUUAGGAGGAACACCAGUGGCGAAGGCGGCUUUUUGGCCUGUAACUGACACUGAGGCGCGAAAGCGUGGGGAGCAAACAGGAUUAGAUACCCCGGUAGUCCCUGUCUCUUAUAU